rnacentral:rRNA from 1 species
AUGAACGCUGGCGGCGUGCCUAAUACAUGCAAGUCGAGCGAACAGACGAGGAGCUUGCUCCUCUGACGUUAGCGGCGGACGGGUGAGUAACACGUGGAUAACCUACCUAUAAGACUGGGAUAACUUCGGGAAACCGGAGCUAAUACCGGAUAAUAUAUUGAACCGCAUGGUUCAAUAGUGAAAGACGGUUUUGCUGUCACUUAUAGAUGGAUCCGCGCCGCAUUAGCUAGUUGGUAAGGUAACGGCUUACCAAGACGACGAUGCGUAGCCGACCUGAGAGGGUGAUCGGCCACACUGGAACUGAGACACGGUCCAGACUCCUACGGGAGGCAGCAGUAGGGAAUCUUCCGCAAUGGGCGAAAGCCUGACGGAGCAACGCCGCGUGAGUGAUGAAGGUCUUCGGAUCGUAAAACUCUGUUAUUAGGGAAGAACAAAUGUGUAAGUAACUAUGCACGUCUUGACGGUACCUAAUCAGAAAGCCACGGCUAACUACGUG